UACGGGGGGAGCAAGCGUUGUUCGGAUUUACUGGGCGUAAAGGGCGCGUAGGCGGCCACCGCAAGUCGACUGUGAAAUCUCCGGGCUUAACCCGGAAAGGUCAGCCGAUACUGCGGGGCUAGAGUGCAGAAGGGGCAACUGGAAUUCUCGGUGUAGCGGUGAAAUGCGUAGAUAUCGAGAGGAACACCAGUGGCGAAGGCGAGUCCCUGGACAACCCCUGACACUGAGGCACGAAAGCUAGGGGAGCAAACGGG
rnacentral:rRNA from 1 species